CAUGUUGGCCAGGCUGGUCUCAAACUCCUGACCUUAGGUGAUCCACCCUCCUCUGCCUCCCAAAGUGCUAGGAUUACCGGCAUGAGCCAUCGUGCCUGGCCUCAAAUUUCAGUUCAUUAAGUGCAAAGAAAACUUGAGCUCAGUUUCUCAGCCUCAAUAUUUCACAUGCUGAACAGUCACAAGUGUCUAGUAGCUAUGGAAGUGGACAGCAAAGAGUAUGGAAGGUUCCCGUCACUGCAGAACAUUCCCAUGGACAACACUGCCCUGGAAGGUAUCACACGUCCUGCAGCUGACGAUUGUUAGCCCAGGAGUUCUGCUAGCUCAGUCUGAAUGGAAAGGAGCCCUGUCUUUUUCUGACUCUGUCACCUGUUGCGGAUUGGGAAUUAAAAAAAUAUUCUCAUCUCAUGAAGAACAAGAAGGGAGGAAGAGGAGGAGGAGAAUAGGAGGAGGAAGAAGAGGAGAAAGGAGGAGGAGAAGGAAGAGGAGGAGGAAGAGGAGAAAGGAGGAAG
rnacentral:lncRNA from 10 species